AGCUGAGUUUGAUCCUGGCUCAGAACGAACGCUGGCGGCGUGUUUAAGACAUGCAAGUCGCACGGGACUAGUUGAGUAGUAAUACGAUUCUAGUCUAGUGGCGCACGGGUGAGUAACAUGUGAAUUACAUGCCCUUCAGUGGGGAAUAGCCCAGGGAAACUUGGAUUAAUAUCCCAUGGUCUCGCAAGAGUAAAGGUGGCCGCAAGGCUGUCGCUAAAGGAUUGGUUCGCGCCCUAUCAGCUUGUUGGCGGGGUAACGGCCCACCAAGGCUACGACGGGUACCUGGUCUGAGAGGACGAUCAAGCACACUGGAACUGAGACACGGUCCAGACA
rnacentral:rRNA from 1 species